ACUGAGUCAAGCCCUUUAAUGUUAUUUAACCAAGCAGACUGACAACAAUCCAUUCACAGAUAGACAAUAUACAGUAAUAGAUCUGUACUGCUCUCUUCAAUGAGGAUGGGUAAAGAGAAGAUGAUCAUCAUAUCAUAUUUGCCACGGCAGUGUCCAACAUUUAUUACAGAUCCCGAAUCUGCUGAAGGCAAUGCUGAGAGGUGACAUGAGGACUCCACUGCCCUUUCUGCAGACCAUUUACCAUGGCAGACUCCAAAGAAGAGCUGCAUCCAUCAUUAAAGACCUUACACACCCCCAACACGGACUGUUCACACUCCUACCCACAGGACGGAGGUACAGGAGUGUAAAUUGCAUGACUUCCAGACUAAGGAACAUCUUGCCCUCAGCUAUUAGACUCUUAAAGCAACACCAAAGAGUUUAUUUUACCUUAAAAUAACGUUUCCAAAAAGUUUCAGUGGUUCAUCCACUCACAACAGGGUGAAUAACACUUUCACAUUCGCUUUGCAGCCCUCUAUCGGCCAAAACCGCACUAAUGAAGUUUCCAACCGUCGGGUAGUGGUACUGUAGUUCGAGUGAAAACUACAAAAACUUGCUUUACGGCAGACCUACAAAUCCAAUCAGAGCCAGCUAUGCUGCAGUAUUUACCACAGUGGUAAUGAACAAUUACGCUUCUAACCUGUAGGGGGAGCAAAGAGCAAUAAGUCAUUAGUGUUGCUUUAAACAACUAGUAGACCACCCAUUUUAGAGAAUAGUCAGUACAACUGUUUCAACUCAUUUGAACAGUGUAAUGUUAUUGCUGCUAUUAUAUACUGCUACUAUGUAAUCUCAUCUCAAUUUUUGCACAUCUGUUAAUGUUAUU